AUUGAACGCUGGCGGCAUGCCUUACACAUGCAAGUCGAACGGUAACGGGCCUUCGGGUGCCGACGAGUGGCGAACGGGUGAGUAAUGUAUCGGAACGUACCUUUCAGUGGGGGAUAACGUAGCGAAAGUUACGCUAAUACCGCAUAUUCUGUGCGCAGGAAAGCAGGGGACCUUCGGGCCUUGCGCUGAUUGAGCGGCCGAUGUCAGAUUAGCUAGUUGGUGAGGUAAAGGCUCACCAAGGCGACGAUCUGUAGCGGGUCUGAGAGGAUGAUCCGCCACACUGGAACUGAGACACGGUCCAGACUCCUACGGGAGGCAGCAGUGGGGAAUUUUGGACAAUGGGGGCAACCCUGAUCCAGCCAUGCCGCGUGAGUGAAGAAGGCCUUCGGGUUGUAAAGCUCUUUCGGCCGGGAAGAAAUCGUAUCAGCUAAUACCUGGUGCGGAUGACGGUACCGGCAUAAGAAGCACCGGCUAACUCCGUGCCAGCCGCCGCCGUAACAC
rnacentral:rRNA from 1 species